AUUGAACGCUGGCGGCAGGCCUAACACAUGCAAGUCGAACGGUAACAGGAAGAAGCUUGCUUCCUUAAUCGAGUGGCGAACGGGUGAGUAACGCGUGAGGAACCUGCCUCAAAGAGGGGGACAACAGUUGGAAACGACUGCUAAUACCGCAUAAGCCCACAGCUCGGCAUCGAGCAGAGGGAAAAGGAGUGAUCCGCUUUGAGAUGGCCUCGCGUCCGAUUAGCUGGUUGGUGAGGUAACGGCCCACCAAGGCAACGAUCGGUAGCCGGACUGAGAGGUUGAACGGCCACAUUGGGACUGAGACACGGCCCAG
rnacentral:rRNA from 1 species